UACUCAGUAUCAUACCCUCUCCUCCCUGGCCCUCAGAGUGCAGCUGUCGGCAGUUGGGGAGAAAAAGAGGAAGUCCAGGAACCAUGUAAAUAAGCAUGGCCUUUGACUUCUGAACCUGCACCGCUUAGUGGGUCUUCGAGCACAGCAUCAUCUUCUUCCUCAGGCAAGAAACUGUAACCACCUUUCACGAAUUCCCAGGUCCUCUGGGCAGACAGAGUAAAAAUCUUAGGCUCCAGCGUCCUGGAUCUUGGCAGAGGAAGGGACCUCAGGAGAUGCUUCAAGUGGGAUGAUUUACCCAGUCAUUGCUAGUGAACAAUCAAAGUCGCGCUAGGACCAAGUUCUGACCUGGCUACCUACCCCAAGACCGUAUUCAUAACACACAGUCAGCCACACACAAAAUUGACAUUGACGCUAACAGUGCCAUAAUCAUCAGACAGGUUGCCGAUUCUGAGGUCUCAACUGUGCCAGCCAACAGGCUCCGCUGCCUGUUAACCCAUCGUGUUCCCUGUUGCCUUCUCCUCUCUCCAUCCUCAAAGACUCUAGGACCCUGGCUCUAAUAUGCCCUGCAAGCGGCCGGUCCCUGGACUCCGAGAGAAGACGCUCCCUACCUGUAGGCGGGGAGACUGGCGAUGACACGCAGGCGGUGCAGCCUGGCUUGUGACAGAAAAUCAGCGAGUCCCCUAGCCUUAUAAGCAGGCCCCGCCCACUGGUGUGAAAACCCUGCCCACAUCGCUUCUGGAACCGAAGCCGAAGCCCAGCCCCAUAAACAGCCUGUCCCACUGGAUUUCUAGAUGAUUUCAGAGUCAACUUUGGGAUAAGAUAUUGCGUUUACAGAAGGACGAAACUGGAGUCCAGCGUGGUGACGCGCGCCUUCAAUCCCACUACUCCGAGAUAGAAACAGACUUUUAUUUUCCCAUGAUGUGGAUCAUGCUCCUUCACGAAACUGGUGUCCUCCAGAAGCAGAAAAGCAGGACGUGACUUUAAUUUUAAAAAAUUAUUUUAUCAUUUCAAAAUAUAUUGUGUAAGUCAAAAUAGCCUAAGUAAGGGAGAAGUAGCCCUGAAAAUGAUUUGAGUUUUGUGAUUUGGACAAAGUGAAUAGAGAAACAUUCAGACAAGAGAAACGCAGUGGCUAGCGGAGGUUGAAGAGUGGAACACACUGGUCAUCUCUAAUGUCACCAUUGCCUGUUCAUAUCCCACCUACCCUACUCCUCUGGGGGAGAUAAAA